CACGUAGUUAGCCGUGGCUUAUUCAUGAGGUACCGUCACUUCCUUCGUCCCUCAUAAAAGAAGUUUACAGCCCGAAAGCCUUCUUCCUUCACGCGGCGUUGCUGGGUCAGGCUUGCGCCCAUUGCCCAAUAUUCCCCACUGCUGCCUCCCGUAGGAGUCUGGGCCGUGUCUCAGUCCCAAUGUGGCCGGCCAACCUCUCAGUCCGGCUACUGAUCGUCGCCUAGGUGGGCCUUUACCCCGCCUACUAGCUAAUCAGACGCGAGCUCAUCUCAGAGCGAUAAAUCUUUGACAACCACUGCCAUGCGACACAGUUGUAUUAUGCGGUAUUAGCACAGUUUUCACUGUGUUAUUCCCCACUCCAAGGUAGAUUGCUCACGCGUUACUCACCCGUCCGCCACUAAGGAUUCCUCUCCAUCGUCCGAAAACUCUGUCAAGGGUCCUCCGUUCGACUUGCAUGUGUUAAGCACGCCGCCAGCGUUCAUCCUGAGCCAGGAUA
rnacentral:rRNA from 1 species